UACGUAGGGACCAAGCGUUGUUCGGAUUUACUGGGCGUAAAGGGCGCGUAGGCGGCUUUACAAGUCACUUGUGAAAUCUCCGGGCUUAACUCGGAACGGCCAAGUGAAACUGUCAUGCUAGAGUGCAGAAGGGGCAAUCGGAAUUCUUGGUGUAGCGGUGAAAUGCGUAGAUAUCAAGAGGAACACCUGAGGUGAAGACGGGUUGCUGGGCUGACACUGACGCUGAGGCGCGAAAGCCAGGGGAGCAAACGGG
rnacentral:rRNA from 1 species